AGCGAACGCUGGCGGCAGGCCUAACACAUGCAAGUCGAACGAACUCUUCGGAGUUAGUGGCGGACGGGUGAGUAACACGUGGGAACGUGCCUUUAGGUUCGGAAUAACUCAGAGAAACUUGUGCUAAUACCGAACGUGCCCUUCGGGGGAAAGAUUUAUCGCCUUUAGAGCGGCCCGCGUCUGAUUAGCUAGUUGGUUGAGGUAACGGCUCACCAAGGAGACGAUCAGUAGCUGGUCUGAGAGGAUGGCCAGCCACAUUGGGACUGAGACACGGCCCAAACUCCUACGGGAGGCAGCAGUGGGGAAUCUUGCGCAAUGGGCGAAAGCCUGACGCAGCCAUGCCGCGUGAAUGAAGAAGGUCUUAGGAUUGUAAAAUUCUUUCACCGGAGACGAUAAGGACGGUACCCGGAGAAGAAGCCCCGGCUAACUUUGUGCCAGCCGCCGCGGUAACAC
rnacentral:rRNA from 1 species